CCUACGGGUGGCAGCAGUGGGGAAUAUUGGACAAUGGGCGAAAGCCUGAUCCAGCCAUGCCGCGUGUGUGAAGAAGGCCUUCGGGUUGUAAAGCACUUUCAGUGGGGAAGAAAGCCUUGGGGCUAAUACCCUCGAGGAAGGACAUCACCCACAGAAGAAGCACCGGCUAACUCCGUGCCAGCAGCCGCGGUAAUACGGAGGGUGCGAGCGUUAAUCGGAAUUACUGGGCGUAAAGCGCGCGUAGGCGGUCUGAUAAGCCGGUUGUGAAAGCCCCGGGCUCAACCUGGGAACGGCAUCCGGAACUGUCAGGCUAGAUGGCAGGAGAGGAAGGUAGAAUUCCCGGUGUAGCGGUGAAAUGCGUAGAGAUCGGGAGGAAUACCAGUGGCGAAGGCGGCCUUCUGGACUGACACUGACGCUGAGGUGCGAAAGCGUGGGUAGCAAACAGGAUUAGAUACCCCUGUAGUC
rnacentral:rRNA from 1 species